GAAUGCUGACAUAAGUAACGAUAAAGCGGGUGAAAAGCCCGCUCGCCGGAAGACCAAGGGUUCCUGUCCAACGUUAAUCGGGGCAGGGUGAGUCGACCCCUAAGGCGAGGCCGAAAGGCGUAGUCGAUGGGAAACGGGUUAAUAUUCCCGUACUUGGUGUUACUGCGAAGGGGGGACGGAGAAGGCUAUGUUGGCCGGGCGACGGUUGUCCCGGUUUAAGCGUGUAGGUGUGUGUUCCAGGUAAAUCCGGUUCACUUUAACACUGAGGCGUGACGACGAGGCACUACGGUGCUGAAGCAACAAAUGCCCUGCUUCCAGGAAAAGCCUCUAAGCAUCAGGUAACAUCAAAUCGUACCCCAAACCGACACAGGUGGUCAGGUAGAGAAUACCAAGGCGCUUGAGAGAACUCGGGUGAAGGAACUAGGCAAAAUGGUGCCGUAACUUCGGGAGAAGGCACGCUGACAUGUAGGUGAAGUGAUUUACUCACGGAGCUGAAGUCAGUCGAAGAUACCAGCUGGCUGCAACUGUUUAUUAAAAACACAGCACUGUGCAAACACGAAAGUGGACGUAUACGGUGUGACGCCUGCCCGGUGCCGGAAGGUUAAUUGAUGGGGUCAGCGCAAGCGAAGCUCCUGAUCGAAGCCCCGGUAAACGGCGGCCGUAACUAUAACGGUCCUAAGGUAGCGAAAUUCCUUGUCGGGUAAGUUCCGACCUGCACGAAUGGCGUAAUGAUGGCCAGGCUGUCUCCACCCGAGACUCAGUGAAAUUGAACUCGCUGUGAAGAUGCAGUGUACCCGCGGCAAGACGGAAAGACCCCGUGAACCUUUACUAUAGCUUGACACUGAACAUUGAGCCUUGAUGUGUAGGAUAGGUGGGAGGCUUUGAAGUGUGGACGCCAGUCUGCAUGGAGCCGGCCUUGAAAUACCACCCUUUAAUGUUUGAUGUUCUAACGUGGACCCGUGAUCCGGGUUGCGGACAGUGUCUGGUGGGUAGUUUGACUGGGGCGGUCUCCUCCUAAAGAGUAACGGAGGAGCACGAAGGUUGGCUAAUCCUGGUCGGACAUCAGGAGGUUAGUGCAAUGGCAUAAGCCAGCUUGACUGCGAGCGUGACGGCGCGAGCAGGUGCGAAAGCAGGUCAUAGUGAUCCGGUGGUUCUGAAUGGAAGGGCCAUCGCUCAACGGAUAAAAGGUACUCCGGGGAUAACAGGCUGAUACCGCCCAAGAGUUCAUAUCGACGGCGGUGUUUGGCACCUCGAUGUCGGCUCAUCACAUCCUGGGGCUGAAGUAGGUCCCAAGGGUAUGGCUGUUCGCCAUUUAAAGUGGUACGCGAGCUGGGUUUAGAACGUCGUGAGACAGUUCGGUCCCUAUCUGCCGUGGGCGCUGGAGAACUGAGGGGGGCUGCUCCUAGUACGAGAGGACCGGAGUGGACGCAUCACUGGUGUUCGGGUUGUCAUGCCAAUGGCACUGCCCGGUAGCUAAAUGCGGAAGAGAUAAGUGCUGAAAGCAUCUAAGCACGAAACUUGCCCCGA
rnacentral:rRNA from 1 species